rnacentral:rRNA from 1 species
AACUGUGGCGGCAGGCCUAACACAUGCAAGUCGAGCGCUCACUUCGGUGGGAGCGGCGGACGGGUUAGUAACGCGUGGGAAUAUACCCGGUACUAAGGAAUAGCCUUUGGAAACGAAGAGUAAUACCUUAUACGCCCUUCGGGGGAAAGAUUUAUCGGUAUCGGAUUAGCCCGCGUAAGAUUAGAUAGUUGGUGGGGUAAUGGCCUACCAAGUCUACGAUCUUUAGCUGGUUUUAGAGGAUGAUCAGCAACACUGGGACUGAGACACGGCCCAGACUCCUACGGGAGGCAGCAGUGGGGAAUCUUAGACAAUGGGCGCAAGCCUGAUCUAGCCAUGCCGCGUGAGUGAAGAAGGCCUUAGGGUCGUAAAACUCUUUCGCCAGAGAUGAUAAUGACAGUAUCUGGUAAAGAAACCCCGGCUAACUCCGUGCCAGCAGCCGCGGUAAUACGGAGGGGGUUAGCGUUGUUCGGAAUUACUGGGCGUAAAGCGCACGUAGGCGGACUGGAAAGUUGGGGGUGAAAUCCCGGGGCUCAACCUCGGAACUGCCUCCAAAACUAUCAGUCUAGAGUUCGAGAGAGGUGAGUGGAAUUCCAAGUGUAGAGGUGAAAUUCGUAGAUAUUUGGAGGAACACCAGUGGCGAAGGCGGCUCACUGGCUCGAUACUGACGCUGAGGUGCGAAAGUGUGGGGAGCAAACAGGAUUAGAUACCCUGGUAGUCCACACCGUAAACGAUGAAUGCCAGUCGUCGGCAAGUAUACUUGUCGGUGACACACCUAACGGAUUAGCAUUCCGCCUGGGGAGUACGGUCGCAAGAUUAAAACUCAAAGGAAUUUGACGGAGGG